CAGUCGCCGCGGUAAUACAGAGGGUGCAAGCGUUAAUCGGAUUUACUGGGCGUAAAGGGCGCGUAGGUGGUUAUGUAAGUGAGAUGUGAAAUCCCCGGGCUCAACCUGGGAACUGCAUCUUAUACUGCGUAGCUGGAGUGCAGUAGAGGGUAGUGGAAUUUCCGGUGUAGCGGUGAAAUGCGUAGAGAUCGGGAGGAACAUCAGUGGCGAAGGCGGCCAUCUGGGACAACACUGACGCUGAGGCACGAAAGCGUGGGGAGCAAACAGGAUUAGAUACCCGAGUAGUCCCUGUCUCUUAUAA
rnacentral:rRNA from 1 species